GAUGAAGAACGCAGCGAAAUGCGAUACGUAAUGUGAAUUGCAAAUUCAGUGAAUCAUCGAGUCUUUGAACGCACAUUGCGCCCCCUGGUAUUCCGGGGGGCAUGCCUGUCCGAGCGUCAUUGCUGCCCUCAAGCACGGCUUGUGUGUUGGGCCCCGUCCUCCGAUCCCGGGGGACGGGCCCGAAAGGCAGCGGCGGCACCGCGUCCGGUCCUCGAGCGUAUGGGGCUUUGUCACCCGCUUUGUAGGCCCGGCCGGCGCUUGCCGAUCAACCCAAAUUUUUAUCCAGGUUGACCUCGGAUCAGGUAGGGAUACCCGCUGAACUUAAGCAUAUCAAUAAGCGGAGGA
rnacentral:misc_RNA from 1 species